rnacentral:rRNA from 1 species
UACGUAGGGUGCAAGCGUUGUCCGGAAUUAUUGGGCGUAAAGAGCUCGUAGGCGGUCUGUUGCGUCGGCUGUGAAAACCCGGGGCUCAACUCCGGGCCUGCAGCCGAUACGGGCAGGCUAGAGUUCGGCAGGGGAGACUGGAAUUCCUGGUGUAGCGGUGAAAUGCGCAGAUAUCGGGAGGAACACCGGUGGCGAAGGCGGUUCUCUGGGCCUGUACUGACGCUGAGGAGCGAAAGCGUGGGGAGCGAACAGG